AUGACGUGUACGAGGUGCGACAGAGCGUGCAGCAGAGCAGAUGGAAGGAAUUGAAUGACCAGGCUGGGAGUAGACAAACUUUUGACGGGAGCUUCUAUGCGUGUAACGAAGUCGGCGUAGAAGUCCAAGUUGUUUGAUAACUGAAAUGCACGAGGGGGUCGUGCAGUUGUUAAAUUCCAGCAGCUGAGAGGGGAAAUAUUUCAGCAUAGUUGGGUUACCCGUUAGCCAGCCAGGCUAUCCAGUGCCACUAGUUGGCUGAAGGGCGGCUAGCGGAGGGCUGGCUACUGUGGAGGUAGCGGUCCCAGGCAACGAGGCCAACCCGCACCGGGGACAGCUGAAAAACUGCCCAGGGAAAUACCUCACAACAGCGCUGGUCGAGACAUGAGCUGGAGCGUGGUGGACGUUGAAGUAAACCAGGAGUGCAGGGGAUCCGAAUAUGGAUGACUGAAACGGCGGGUUAGACGGGCGGCAGCAGAGACGCUCUUGAGGAGCACCGUGCGGGCCCUUUUCCAGAUAAGACGGGCCUGCUGAAUGAGGAGACAAGACGGCAACAAUUAAAUAUAAAAAGAGAUAAAAAAUACACAAAAAAUACACAAAAAAUACACAAAACAUCAAACAUUAAAUAUUAAAAGCCAUUUUAUAAAAGUGAGUCUUGAGCUAGGACUUAAAAAUGGACACGGAGGAAGCUGUUCUGAUAUCCAAAGGAAGGCUGUUCCAAAGUCUGGGCGUGACGACCGAGAAAGCACGAUCACCCUUCGUUUUCAGCCUGGACUUUGGAACAGCCAAUAAUGCCAAGGAAGAUGAUCUGAGUGUGCGAGAAGUUUGAUAUGAUGUUAAAAGGUCAAUGAUAUAUUCCGGAGCAAUGCCAGCCAGUGCUUUAAAAGUAAUAAGUAAAAUUUUUUAAUUUACUCUAAAUUCAAUAGGAAGCCAGUGUAACGUCGCUAGAACUGGGGUAAUAUGGGCCCUUCUAUUUGUCCUAGUCAAAAGUCUGGCUGCUACAUUCUGCACCACCUGGAGACGGGAUAUGGAUUUAUGACUUAGACAUGUAUAUAUGGAGUUACAAUAGUCCAGACGUGAAGAAACAAAAGCAUGAAUGAUUUUUUUUGUAUCCUGUAAUGGUAACAUGCAUCUGAUUUUUGAGAUAUUUCUUAAAUGGUAAAAACAAGUCUGGAUUACUUUUGUCAUGUGGAGAUUGAGAUUAAGUUCUGAGUCCAAAAUUACUCCCAGAUUUCGAGCAGUACUUUUCACAUUAUGUGCAAAAGGGCCAAGGUUUAAACGAAUUUGUUGAGCGAUCUCCGGUUUUCCAAAAAUUAAAAUUUCAGUCUUAUGGCGAUUAAGUUGUAGGAAGUUGAGCCAUCCAGCGUUGAACAUCAGUUUGGCAGGCUCGUAAGGUUGACAGUGUGUUAACCUCAUUGCGUUUAACCGAAAAAAAAAAAAAAAGUUUUACUAAUUCCUAUGUGCCUAAUAGCGGGGUAGAAUUAACUAUACGGUUUUCAAAUGCUGAAGAAAACAUUUCAGCUGUUUGUAUGUUGAUGAAUCGAGAACGAAAAACACAUUUAUCAUUUGUACAUAUAACUGGAAGUUGGACAUCAAAUAAGAUGCUGAGAUGAUCUGAGACACAAAUGUCUUUCUUCUCAAGGCUAUUUAGUUCCAGACCAAGCGUAAACACUAAAUCUAGCGUGUGCCCUUUAUUGUGCGUUGCACCUGACACGUGUUGCACUAGGUUAAAAUAAUCUGUUAGUUCCAAGAAUUCGGUGGAAGCCGAAUCUGAUAUGUCAUGCACGUGAAGAUUGAAAUCUCCAGGAAUAAUCAAUUUGUCAUUUUAACACCAAAAAAGAUAAAAGAUCUGAGAAUUCUAAAAUAAAAUCCUUGUUUGGUUUGGGGGGGGCGAUCAGCCUCCACACACGGAACAGGAGCAUUGCACUACAGAGUAAACAUGAGCACUUCAAAAGAAGAGAAAUCAUUCACCGAUACAGUGUUACAUUUGAACUGACUUUUGUAUAACACAGCUAUGCCUCCGCCCCGGCCAUUGGAUCUGGGCUUAUUAAAAAAAAUUAUAUUCGGGCGGGCAUGCCUCAAUAAAUUUACACUGAUCAUUAGAAUUCACCCAUGUUUCUGUAAGCAAUAGGAAGUCACAGUUAAACGAUGUAAUAUAAUCAUUAAUUCUAAAAGUUUUGUUAGAUAGUGAUCUAAUAUUCAGUAGACUGCAGGUAAUAUGAUCACUAGAAGCGACAUCAGUCUUUUCCAGCGGAGACGCGCGUUUCACUGGACGAAGAUUUCGAUAGUCAAUUUGAGGGAAAUGGCACAGUCUAGGACGGCAGCUGGACCAAAAUGAACACAUAUUAGUGUCCGCAUGUUUGUGUUUAUUCAACCUGCAAAGUUCUGUGCGAGAGUAUGUAAACGCCUGGGGAAAGUACGGAGCUGUUGAAUUGGCCUUUAAAAACAGAAAUCCAGGAUAAAAUAUAAUAAGCAAAAGCAAAAACAAUCCAUCUGGAGAAUGCAUGGUAAAUAAUCCAAAAACUUAGUUUCGCAAACGAAGUAGAGAUCCCCCGGUAACCAGGAAGCCGCAGUAGCCUACCACCCUGACCCAACCUUCAGAGCAAGGACGCCAGAUUAUUAAAACCACGUUAGCCACCAAAAUUGCAACUACCGAUUUACCAGCGCCUUUGAGAGGGUCGAGCGGCAACAAGCAACUCAGUCCACCCAAAAAGCCAGCGGACCUGCAGGCAAGGAACUUACCGACAAAGCCGAGCGGAGAGCAACUGAGGGAAAGCUCGUGAAAGGCGUGAUGAGAGCCGGUGAGUGUAGGCUACCACACGCAUACAAAAAUCCAGCAGGGAGAAAGACCAAAAAAUAAUAUAAAGGUAUCCAGUGGGCCUAGGCCAAGGUCAAUAGCCCUUGGUUUUAAUUGUUUUCGGAAAAGACGCCAGGAUCCACUUGAUAGAUGAGUCUGUGUUAGUUUGUCGGUGUUGUUUUAGACAGAAACGGCUAAACAUAAAACACGAAAAACAAACACAGUCCACCAGAGCAGUGGCAGCCAAAAUGCGCCAGCGUUCGUUCCAAGUGUGCGGUAAAAGCACUUCGAAGAAAAGUACAAGGUUUCUUCAAAUAUAUGAAUGCAGAAUGCAUGUUUUGAGCAGGCGGACAGGUUGUGUUAACCGUCUUGUGUGUGCAUCUUGUGUCCAAGGUUUUGAAAAUUGAGCAGAAACUUGCGAGAUUUGUGCCAAAGUAAAAAAUAUUUAAAAAAAACUGUAAUAACCAAACUGUCACCAUGGCCAAAACAUUUUGAGUAAUCAUACUUGUUACUUCCUAAAUUAGGUCUUUUGAGGUUUUCAUUCAGUGUCAUGGUUGAUGAGGGAAGUUUUUGAAUUACUUUUUAAAGCAUUUGUUUAAUCCAACCACUGUGCUGGGUAAACAAUACACCACAUUGAACUGAAGAGAAACCAGACAAGAGGGGACACAAACCCCCACACUGAACUGAAGAGAAGCCAGACAAGAGGGGACACAAACCCCCACACUGAAGUGAAGAGAAGGCCACACCACAGGCUCAGAGAUGGUGACCCAAUCCAGUUAAAAGAUGAGGGGAAUAAAUGCUUCCAGGCGGGUGAAGUUGACAAGGCCAUUGAAUGUUACACCAACGCCAUGAAGACCUGCAAGGACAAUAAUGUGCUGGCUGUGCUUAAAAGAAGCAACGGUCUUCCGAGGUUGCGGUGGUUGCCGUAGCUGCGAACCCGGACAGUAGUACCGCUGCACAGAGAGACUUUUGGAGCGAGCUGCGCCGGGGCAGAGCCGCGGAACGUUGCGGGAUUUGGGGAAGGAGUGGCGCCGUGCAGGACCGGGCUGGUCCUAAGGACGCUGCGCUGUUUCCCUGGAACAACAUUGCGAGGGGAGACGGCAGGACCUGUCGAGGGCGGAGAGUUCCGUCUCCCGCUCUUCAGAACACUAAGGCGAUAUCCAGCACCGGGGCCAGCGCCCACUCGCUUCCCAGCGGCUAGGCGCAGCCGGGGCUCCUUACACGGAACUUUGUGCAACUUCUCUGUGGGGGAAGGGGGUGCCUAGUAGUUGGGUGGGUUCGGCAUAGAAAAUAAUAGGACCGUGGAGGGGGCGGGAGUCAGCUGGUGCUGACAAUUUUACAGACCCGUAUACAUGUAAACAGACUUACUGACAAGGACCUGUGUGAGACAUGUGGCUGUUCCCCUCCACCACCCGCUCCCCUUUUGAAAAUUGAGCAGAAACUUGCGAGAUUUGUGCCAAAGUAAAAAAUAUUAAAUAAAUAAAAAAACUGUAAUAACCAAACUGUCACCAUGGCCAAAACAUUGAGUAAUCAUACUUGUUACUUCCUAAAUUAGGUCUUUUGAGGUUUUCAUUCAGUGUCAGGGUUGAUGAGGGAAGUUUUUGAAUUACUU